rnacentral:rRNA from 1 species
ACGAACGCUGGCGGCGUGCCUAAUACAUGCAAGUCGAACGCUUCUUUUUCCACCGGAGCUUGCUCCACCGGAAAAAGAGGAGUGGCGAACGGGUGAGUAACACGUGGGUAACCUGCCCAUCAGAAGGGGAUAACACUUGGAAGCAGGUGCUAAUACCGUAUAACAAUCGAAACCGCAUGGUUUUGAUUUGAAAGGCGCUUUCGGGUGUCGCUGAUGGAUGGACCCGCGGUGCAUUAGCUAGUUGGUGAGGUAACGGCUCACCAAGGCCACGAUGCAUAGCCGACCUGAGAGGGUGAUCGGCCACAUUGGGACUGAGACACGGCCCAAACUCCUACGGGAGGCAGCAGUAGGGAAUCUUCGGCAAUGGACGAAAGUCUGACCGAGCAACGCCGCGUGAGUGAAGAAGGUUUUCGGAUCGUAAAACUCUGUUGUUAGAGAAGAACAAGGAUGAGAGUAACUGUUCAUCCCUUGACGGUAUCUAACCAGAAAGCCACGGCUAACUACGUGCCAGCAGCCGCGGUAAUACGUAGGUGGCAAGCGUUGUCCGGAUUUAUUGGGCGUAAAGCGAGCGCAGGCGGUUUCUUAAGUCUGAUGUGAAAGCCCCCGGCUCAACCGGGGAGGGUCAUUGGAAACUGGGAGACUUGAGUGCAGAAGAGGAGAGUGGAAUUCCAUGUGUAGCGGUGAAAUGCGUAGAUAUAUGGAGGAACACCAGUGGCGAAGGCGGCUCUCUGGUCUGUAACUGA